GACGUAGGGCGCGAGCGUUGUCCGGAUUUAUUGGGCGUAAAGAGCUCGUAGGCGGCUUGUCGCGUCAACUGUGAAAACCCGUGGCUCAACCAUGUGGUCUGCAGUCGAUACGGGCAGGCUAGAAUUCGGUAGGGGGAGACUGGAAUUCCUGGUGUAGCGGUGAAAAUGCGCAGAUAUCAGGAGGAACACCGGUGGCGAAAGGGCGGGGUCUCUGGG
rnacentral:rRNA from 1 species